GCUGGGCACAGUGGGCCUGCCUGUAAUCCCAGCAACUUGGAAGGCUGAGGCAGGAGGAUCACGAGUUCGAAACCAGCCUCAGCAACUUAGUGAGACCCUAUCUCAA
rnacentral:sRNA from 1 species